AACGAACGCUGGCGGCAGGCCUAACACAUGCAAGUCGAGCGGAGCUUUCGGGGUCAGCGGCGGACGGGUGAGUAACGCGUGGGAAUAUGCCCUUCUCUACGGAAUCGUCCUGGGAAACUGGGGGUAAUACCGGAUACGCCCUUGGGGGGAAAGAUUUAUCGGGGAAGGAUUAGCCCGCGUUGGAUUAGGUAGUUGGUGGGGUAAUGGCCUACCAAGCCGACGAUCCAUAGCUGGUUUGAGAGGAUGAUCAGCCACACUGGGACUGAGACACGGCCCAGACUCCUACGGGAGGCAGCAGUGGGGAAUCUUAGACAAUGGGGGCAACCCUGAUCUAGCCAUGCCGCGUGAGUGAUGAAGGCCUUAGGGUUGUAAAGCUCUUUCAGCUGGGAAGAUAAUGACGGUACCAGCAGAAGAAGCCCCGGCUAACUCCGUG
rnacentral:rRNA from 1 species